CAGAGGGUGCGAGCGUUAAUCGGAAUUACUGGGCGUAAAGCGCACGUAGGCGGCUUUGCAAGUCGGAUGUGGAAUCCCCGGGCUUAACCUGGGAACUGCAUUCGAGACUGCAUUGCUCGAGUAUGGGAGAGGGAGGCGGAAUUUCCGGUGUAGCGGUGAAAUGCGUAGAUAUCGGAAGGAACAUCAGUGGCGAAAGCGGCCUCCUGGACCAAUACUGACGCUCAUGUGCGAAAGCGUGGGGAGCAAACAGGAUUAGAUACCCUGGUAGUCCACGCCAUAAACGAUGAGAACUAGAUGUCGGGAGGGUUAGCCUCUCGGUGUCGCAGCUAGCGCGUUAAGUUCUCCGCCUGGGGAGUACGGCCGCAAGGUUG
rnacentral:rRNA from 1 species